UAGGGAAAAUCAGUGGCCUGAGGACCUCUGAGAAAGCAAUGAGAAACUGAGACAACAGAGCUGUUUGCUUGUUUUAUAUACAGAUGGAGCCAGAAUCUGCUGCUGCUUCCCACACAGUCCAGUGCCACCAGUGUCCCUGCCCUGUCACAGCCACCCAGCCACCUCUGGGAAGGAAUGAAGGUGGAUCUUGAUUGAGGAUGUGAGCUGAAGGACAUGAGGCCACAAAGGACCAGUAAGAGAAGAAAACCAUGAAAUCUCUGGAGAUGGGAAGGCCAUGGAUUCAGGGCCUUGCUCCAAGCCAGACUACUCAAACCCAUCCUCCCUCCAGGAGAUAUCUCCUGUUCAUGGCCAGUGAGUCCCAGGGCAUGACUGAUAAAAUUCCAUCAUCCCACUGGGAGAUGCUCCAGCCAGGGGAGGAGCCAAGCCUUUCCUACCCAGAUAAAAACUGACAUUUUGGACACCAAGGAACCUUCUUUCCACUGGAUCCCAGAGGAAAACCAGACCUUUGCACAUCAUCCCUGGAGCUUCAGAGGAAACUGCACCUUCUCCAGGAGCACUGCUUCAGCUGAACCACAUCUGCCACUGCAGGAGGAUGCAGCCACCAUUGAAUGGGACUGCUGCCAGGCACAGCCUGAACCACACUUUAAACACUGAAUUCUGAAGAGUUCCCAGAAAGCCACAACUAUCAAAGUCACAACUUUGAGACACCAAGGUGGUGUUUUAUUUCAGUACCUUCAAUCUAUUUUUAAAGCAACCCCCAAAUUUCAUCUUUGUUUUUAGCUGAAAAGCAGCAACACUGUAAAACAUGCAUGGAACACUGGGUACAUCUGAGAUCUGGAGAAUUUUUUUUUUCCCUGGGCCUAACAAUUCAGUCAAGUCUGUCUCUGCCUGCUUCUCUGAGCUGAAUGUACCUGGCAGAGGGACAUAAUCACAGUCUGAGAAACAGCAGACCCACAGUGGGAAAUGCAGGACAAAAAUAUUGCUGGAUGUGUCUGUGCCACACAGCAAAAGCUCUCAGCUGGUUUGUUUUCCACUCUUUACUUAUCCCUAUUAAAUGAGUUGCUUAAGCUUAGUUGGAACGUGGCCCAAUCAAAUGCUGACCCUGCCUGCAAGAAAUAUUUUUCUCUAUCAGCUACUUGAGCUAAUUUUGGUCACUAAUUUAUGCAUCUCUCUACAUAGUGAUAUCUACACAAUGUCUUUGGGAGAAACAUUUGUUAAGGCUGACAAUAGCAACUGCCAGAUAUGUUGUAGGUGGAAUUAUUUGCAGUGUUUGCUGUCCUUUCUAGAGAAAAUAAGUUUUGUACUUCUUCAGAGAAAGAGCUGCAUUAGUGACCUUCAUUUAGAAACUACAGAGCAAGAACAGGAAUACAACAAAGAACAGGAUUCCCAAAGCUCUAAAUCCUAAACCAUUGGCCCAGCCAGUAAAUCCCUUUAAAAGAGCAGAGAUUCCAGAGGUUUGGAACAUGCUUAGUCCUCUCAGUGCAGAAUAAACAUAAACACCAGGCACUGCAUUGGAUCACUUUCUAAGGGAGAGGACUGAGAAUUUGCAUGACUUUUUAAUCUUCUUCCUGAGCGUGUCUGAGUAAAUUCUGUUAAAUUCUGAUACUUCUCUCUCUUUUCCAUCCUCAGUUCUCACAUUUCUUUCAGCAGCCUUGCCACGGUCAAAUUUGUCCCUGCUGAUGUGACUCUCCCCACUUCCCCUUUAACUUUUUUUUAAAUGAACCUUUCUUUUUGAGCAAUUGGCAGCCUGGUGCCUGGAUGUUGCCUGGGUACAAACCCAUCAAUUUUACUGUGCCACAGUGCUCAGCCCUGGAUAGUUUGAUGCUGAUUUCAGGAGGGAACAGGGAGUGGUCAGGCAGGGCUGCUCUGAUUGAAGGAGCUCCAGGAAAACUCUAAAUCAAAGGAUUUGAACCAAGUGAUUCCCCUCUGUGGCACUGCAGCAAGCACAGACCUGACGAGCCAGGUUAGGAGAGGAGGUUACUGGGAAUGAGCAUCACUUGUUGAUCAUUUCUGUUCAAUAAGAAAUGCAGCACUGGGGUUAAAGGACUCACAGCCAAAGGACUGGCAGAGGUGUUGCUGGGGUGUGAAGGCCUAACCUCAAGAUCACUGGCUUAUUUUACACAGGCUAAACACAGUCUGUGCUUUUGACUUAGUGCAACCGCCCUGCUCCAGGGAAAGGAGUCCCUGGCCAAACACUGCCAAGGGGAGUUAGGGCUCCUGGAUCAGGGAGGAAGAAAUGAGGGGCUGCAGGCUUUUUGUAAAGUCCUGUUUCACUCUCCAGCUUGAAAUCCUCCAUCAUUCCUCUGCUGCUGAAUGAGGAAUGCAGCUGAGCCCAGAGAACUAUUCACAAACACAAAAUGAGGGGUGUGGAGCAAAGCUUAUCUGCCUCUCAAGCACACCAUGGAGGUAAAGUGCAUCCCCAUGUGUGACAAGUGACGUUAACUGGGACUAAAUAUAGAGCAGCCUGCUGCACACUGAUGAUAUCUCCCAGGGUCAGCUGAGCUGCUCUGCCUAAUUUUGGCCUGCUGGGUCUCUGGAGGUUGUUGUUAGCAAAAGGCAGCAGUGCUGUAGUGGGUGGAGCAGUUCCCUUCUUGGAUGGUCAGCCAGAGGAGCCUGUGUCCAUCCUGUCCCCUCUCCAGCUCUGCAGUGUCCAUCCUGUCCCAUCCCCAUUUCUGCAGUGUCCAUCCUGUUCCAGUUCUGCAGUGUCCAUCCUGUUCCAUCUCCAUUUCUGCAGUGUCCAUCCUGUUCCAUCUUCAGUUCUGCAGUGUCCAUCUUGUUCCAUUUCUGCAGUGUCCAUCCUGUUCCAUCUCCAUUUCUGCAGUGUCCAUCCUGUUCCAUCUUCAGUUCUGCAGUGUCCAUCCUGUCCCCUCUCCAGCUCUGCAGUGUCCAUCCUGUUCCAUCUUCAGUUCUGCAGUGUCCAUCCUGUCCCACCUCCAUUUCUGCAGUGUCCAUCCUGUUCCAUCUCCAUUUCUGCAGUGUCCAUCCUGUUCCAUCUUCAGUUCUGCAGUGUCCAUCCUGUCCCCUCUCCAGCUCUGCAGUGUCCAUCCUGUUUCACCUCCAGCUCUGCAGUGUCCAUCCUGUCCCCUCUCCAUUUCUGCAGUGUCCAUCCUGUCCCCUCUCCAGUUCUGCAGUGUCCAUCCUGUCCUAUCUCCAGUUCUGCAGUGUCCAUCUUGUUCCAUUUCUGCAGUGUCCAUCCUGUCCCCUCUCCAGCUCUGCAGUGUCCAUCCUGUUUCACCUCCAGCUCUGCAGUGUCCAUCCUGUCCCCUCUCCAUUUCUGCAGUGUCCAUCCUGUCCUAUCUCCAGCUCUGCAGAGUCCAUCCUGUCCCACCUCAAUUUUUGCAGUUGCCAUCUUCUC